rnacentral:ncRNA from 1 species
ACCUCGACGUCGGCUCUUUGCCACCUAGAGUUGUAGUAUGUUCCAAGGGUUGGGUUGUUCGCCCAUUAAAACGGUACGUGAGCUGGGUUCAUAACGUCAUGAGACAGUUU